rnacentral:rRNA from 1 species
CGUCUGAUUAGCUAGUUGGUGAGGUAAAAGCUCACCAAGGCGACGAUCAGUAGCCGGUCUGAGAGGAUGAUCCGCCACACUGGGACUGAGACACGGCCCAGACUCCUACGGGAGGCAGCAGUGGGGAAUUUUGGACAAUGGGCGCAAGCCUGAUCCAGCCAUGCCGCGUGUCUGAAGAAGGCCUUCGGGUUGUAAAGGACUUUUGUCCGGGAGCAAAUGCCUGGUGUUAAUAGCAUCGGGAGCUGAGAGUACCGGAAGAAUAAGCACCGGCUAACUACGUGCCAGCAGCCGCGGUAAUACGUAGGGUGCAAGCGUUAAUCGGAAUUACUGGGCGUAAAGCGUGCGCAGGCGGUUUUGUAAGCCAGAUGUGAAAGCCCCGGGCUCAACCUGGGAACUGCGUUUGGAAACUACAGACUAGAGUGUGUCAGAGGGGGGUGGAAUUCCGCGUGUAGCAGUGAAAUGCGUAGAGAUGCGGAGGAACACGAUGGCGAAGGC